AUUGAACGCUGGCGGCAGGCUUAACACAUGCAAGUCGAGCGAGCGGCGGAGGGGUGAGAAAUGCCUGGGAAGUGUCCAGUCGAGGGGGAUAACAGUUGGAAACGACUGCUAAUACCGACAAAGAAUGGAUUGCCCAGGUGGGAUUCGCUAGUGGGUGGGGUAAUGGCUCACCAAGGCGACGAUCCCUAGCUGGUCUGAGAGGAUGAUCAGCCACACUGGAACUGAGACACGGUCCAGACUCCUACGGGAGGCAGCAGUGGGGAAUAUUGCACAAUGGGGGCAACCCUGAUGCAGCCAUGCCGCGUGUGUGAAGAAGGCCUUCGGGUUGUAAAGCACUUUCAGCGAGGAGGCGUUACUCGCAGAAGAAGCACCGGCUAACUCCGUGCCAGCAGCCGCGGUAAUUC
rnacentral:rRNA from 1 species